UAGGGAAUCUUCCACAAUGGGCGAAAGCCUGAUGGAGCAACGCCGCGUGUGUGAUGAAGGGUUUCGGCUCGUAAAACACUGUUGUAAGAGAAGAAUGACAUUGAGGGUAACUGUUCAAUGUGUGACGGUAUCUUACCAGAAAGGAACGGCUAAAUACGUGCCAG
rnacentral:rRNA from 1 species